rnacentral:rRNA from 1 species
UACGUAGGGUGCAAGCGUUAAUCGGAAUUACUGGGCGUAAAGCGUGCGCAGGCGGUUUUGUAAGUCUGUCGUGAAAUCCCCGGGCUUAACCUGGGAAUGGCGAUGGAGACUGCAAGGCUAGAGUUUGGCAGAGGGGGGUAGAAUUCCACGUGUAGCAGUGAAAUGCGUAGAGAUGUGGAGGAACACCGAUGGCGAAGGCAGCCCCCUGGGUCAAAACUGACGCUCAUGCACGAAAGCGCGGGGAGCAAACAGG